GCCCAUUAAAGGAAACUUAGACUCCAUCAAAAUUAAGAACUUUUGUCCUGCAAAUGACACUCUUAGAAAGUCAAAAGAUAGAUACAGACCCAGAGAAAAUAUUUGCAAAUCACAUGUCUGACAAAGGACUUGUGUCUAAGAUACACAAACAACUCUCAAACUUAACUGUAAUGAAAACAACCCAAAUUUUAAAAUAGGCAAAAGAUGUGAACUGAGACUUUGCCAGAGGUAGACAGCAGGCAAACAAGCACAGGAAAAGAUAUUAAUUCUCACGAAGAUCACCCUCCACUGCUGAAGAACCUGACUCCAAGUAUUUCAAUGGCCACUUAAGAUGCCUGAAGCAACUCAGGACUCCUAAGCCCUCAUCACUCUCUCCCCUAGUGGUGCUUUUCCCCAAGGCACCCCCAGAACUGAUCAGUCACCUGAGAGAAGAGGAAAACUCCUUAGACCAAAAGGCAGCCAGGUAUUGGCUUCCCCACCCAUCACACACAACCUCCAGCCAGCCAAUAGAAGUAGCAAGACAGAAUAGGAGGCGGGGCCUGCCUGGUCUCCAUGGUAAUCCCUGGCAGGUGGAAGUGAGGAAGAGGCUCAAUGCAGCCUUGGUAGCACUGGAUGCAGAUGUCUUAAUGAGGGUAUUGAACGGCAUUUUAAAAAAUGUGUGAGGACUGUUGUGAGCCUGAGGAGUCUGAGAGGCCCCCCAGGGACCACUUCGUGCUGUCAAUCGUGGCCUACCUCCUGUGUUGCCCCUUAGGCACUGCGGCUUUGUACUAUUCUAGGCAGACAAUGCGCUACAACUAUAGGAAUGAACAUGCCUUGGCAGUCAAGUCCUCCUGGAUGGCCCUCAGAUUAUCAAUUGCAUCAAUUAUUCUGGCAUGCAUCGGUAUGGUCAGCAUCUGCUUGAUGCUCACAGUGGACAAGUUAUCUCGGUAACCUGCUCUCCAGCUCAUGAACAAACCACCAAAUAUAUACAAAAGCAUUACUUACAUGGCUCAAAGUCUCCAUUUGGGCCCAGUGGGACACCAGUUCCUCAAUGUCUAGACUGCCAAGUGUUGCCAGCCUGGGCCAUCUCCUUGAGGUUGUUGAGGUGGGAAGGAAGUGUAGCUAUGGCCACCUAUUUGACCUAUUUGACCUGAGGCAAGACCAACCCUUGGACCCUAGCAAGGGAUGGGGGCCAUAGGUGAGAGGGUAGGGCACUGUUUGCCCCAGGGAAGCCUCCCCUCCUACCUACAUUCACGCAUUCAUGCCAUAUAUCUACUUAUGGCAACCACAAAGGGCCUUGAACAUGCUGCCUGACUCUGGGGACAUAGCAGUGACCACGUCAGAUCCAACCCCAUCCCCUCACAACUCACCAACCAGGUUUGCAGAUAGACACAUCAUCAAAUAGUGACAGUUCAGAGUGGUCCAAUCUCUAAGGGGAACCUAGGGAGGUGGGUUGUAAGAGGCCAGACCUGAUCUGGGGAACUCAGAUCUAACACAAAUCCAGGGAGUCAGGCAGCUGUUGGUGAACUGGUUAGAAUUGGCAUCAGGUUAUGACUGUAGAGACUUCUCUAACAGGUAUGGAUUGCCUCCUCUCCCAACUUUCCCCCAAAUCUUGUCAUUUAGUAAUCACUCAAAAAAUACAUUCUGAGCGCCUACAAUGUACCAGACAUUGUACCAGGAACUAGGAAUGCAACAGAGCAAGAUAAGAAGAUCUCUUUCUGAUGGAGCUUACAUUCUGGCAGGGAAGAAAACCAGAAACAAAUAGACCUCAAACACACAAGGUAAUUACAGGGAAUGGUAAAUGCUGUGGAGCAAAUAAGACAGGAUAAUAAGCUUAAGCAGUGCCAGUACAGGUCCACCAACCGUUAACAGUUUGCAACUCGAUAAGUGCAGAAAUUGCCAGUAAGUGCUUCCAAACCUACAGCAACUUGACAUUUUCGUGACAUUCAAGUAUACGAUCAGGAGCCCUUUCUAGUUGCACACAGUAUAGACCAAAAGGGUCAGUCCAUCACAGAUUGAAAAUCUGAAAAACAGUUUCUACUCCACAACGACAAUAGUUUCAGAAGCACUGCGCUAGUGGGCAAUGACAUCUAGAAGGCAUAGUGGUUAGGAUCAUCCUCGCAGCUGUAACACAUAAACCCCACCAUGUCAAAGCUCAAUAGGAGAAGUUUAUUUCACAAUCACAGAACCUCCCAAUGUGGGCAUCAGCUGGCUCAAAUAUUGUGUCAGGGAUCGAGUCUUUUUCCAUUCGGUGAUUCCACCAUCUCCUAAAGGCUCAGGGUCCUUUGAAUCCAGGCAGAAGACAAGAGGGUGGAGAACCCCUGCUUGCUUCUUAAAAUGCUUGGCCUGAACGUGAACCUUGGACACUCUUGGUGGGAAUGUCAAUUUCAAUAGCCAUGAUGGAUAACAGUAUGGAGGUCCUCAAAAAAUUAAAAAUAGAACCACCAAAUGCUCAAGCAACCCACUUCUGGGUAUAUGUCCAAAGGAAUUAAAAUCACUGUUUCAACAA
ensembl:lncRNA